rnacentral:lncRNA from 1 species
ACAGUAGGAGGCACAAUACUGUCAUGUUUAUCUCAAGAACAGUGUGAAUUGUGAAGAUUGGAGCCGCAUCUGAUGGGUCAUACUUGUACUAUUGCAUGUAUGCAGUAAACUCUAUAUGCUGUUGAUACUUCUGCAUUAUUUUUGAGCUCAGGAUUAAGUGCUAUUGAUGUUCUGAAGCUGAAAACUGAAAGUGAGACUGGCUUUGCAAUUACAAGAAAAAUGGAAAAUUGUUUUGUUUGGAUUUCAGCAAAUUCAAUUUAAGCUGCUGCAGAGGGCAAAGGGAAAAGUGGGGAAGACUUUUUUCAGAAGGUAAGAAAGAUAUUUCAGUUAUAUAACAGCACCUGACUAGAGAAAAAAAAAAGCAAUCAAUUACUAUGUGUGUGACCAACUAAUUAAACUU